rnacentral:rRNA from 1 species
AUUGAACGCUAGCGGGAUGCUUUACACAUGCAAGUCGAACGAGUGGCGGACGGGUGAGUAAUAUAUCGGAACGUGCCCAGUAGCGGGGGCUAACUACUCGAAAGAGUGGCUAAUACCGCAUAGUAUUGGAGCGGCCGAUAUCGGAUUAGCUAGUGGGUGGGGUAAAGGUUCACCAAGGCAACGAUCCGUAGCUGGUUUGAGAGGACGACCAGCCACACUGGGACGGAGACACGGCCCAGACCCCUACGGGAGGCAGGAUUGGGGAAUUUUGGACAAUGGGGGAAACCCUGAUCCAGCCAUCCCGCGUGUAUGAGAAGGCCUUCGGGUUGUAAAGUACUUUUGGCAGAGAAGCGGUAUCUGCUGAAUAAGCACCGGCUAACUACGUGCCAGCAGCCGCGGUAAUUC